AACGAACGCUGGCGGCAUGCCUAACACAUGCAAGUCGAACGAGACCUUCGGGUCUAGUGGCGCACGGGUGCGUAACGCGUGGGAACCUGCCCUUAGGUUCGGAAUAACUCCCCGAAAGGGGUGCUAAUACCGGAUAAUGUCUUCGGACCAAAGAUUUAUCGCCUUUGGAUGGGCCCGCGUUGGAUUAGCUAGUUGGUAGGGUAAAAGCCUACCAAGGCGACGAUCCAUAGCUGGUCUGAGAGGAUGAUCAGCCACACUGGGGCUGAGACACGGCCCAGACUCCUACGGGAGGCAGCAGUGGGGAAUAUUGGAUAAUGGGCGAAAGCCUGAUCCAGCAAUGCCGCGUGAGUGAUGAAGGCCUUAGGGUUGUAAAGCUCUUUUACCCGGGAUGAUAAUGACAGUACCGGGAGAAUAAGCUCCGGCUAACUCCGUG
rnacentral:rRNA from 1 species